AGGGCCCCCACUCUGGUGUGAGCGUUCUGUGAUCGCCCUUGCAAGUAAAAACUGCAGCGUGUGUGUCCACUCUCUGACUCUCAGCUGAAGAAGUGUCUUUAGAAUAAAUCUCUUGACAUUUAUUUUGGUCCUUCGUAGCCGGGGCAGAAACAUCAGAACUGUUAUCUGUGACUCUGUUCCAGGAUCCAGCACUGAUUCCUGACGCCGUGGGAAGCCUGCACCGAAGUCCGUGUGCAGCCCUCUUAGACGAGGCCGAAAGACCCGGACUGUUAAAUUCGGAUUCGGGCCAGUGUCCUUAGUCUGGUCCCGGGCGGUGGGAUUCAGUCUGACGAUCCGAACCACCAGUGAGACGUCUGAGGAGACCCUCCUCAGACCGGUUUAUACACUUGCAUUGGCUACUGGGUAUCAAACAUCAGAAGCUCAAUGGCGUCCUGGAGAAUGACUGCACAAAUGGAUCUUGGAAUAUGAUCUGACACUGGUCCACCACUCCUGCCUGCACAGAGCCUUCACAAGAUCACGACCAGAACAUGGACCCCACAGACCUUUUCACUUCAGAGUUAGAUGCUGAGAUGGAAAGGCUGGUUAAAUUGCUGGACCGCAUAUGUAAGUGGUCACCAGGUGUUACUCUGAGGGAAAUCCUCCAAAAAAAACCAGACAGAGCAGUGGAACAGCCAAUGGAAUAGAACGGUGUAAAACUGUAUUUCUAAAAUAAAAACCAAUAAAACAUAAACACUAAAAGUCCGGUGGCAUCAGCCACAGCAUUAACAUCCAGUAAAAUCGGAGCGGGCAAGGAAAACCCGGCAGCACACAGCCUUCACAUGAAAAUGUUAGGUUGUUGGAGAGUUUGUUGCAGGGCUCCACUGUCAGGUGGAGGCACUGGAACCAAGUACACGGACAGACA